rnacentral:lncRNA from 1 species
GGCACCAAGGGGGUUCUACAGGAGCCCCUGGCUGUGGACUGGGCUCUGGGGCUCACCUGCCGGCCUCCGGGGCUCGCCAGGGGCCCCACACCUGCCCGGAGGUCGCUACUUCGUGGCCCAGCACUCUGGGCGACCCCAGCCCUCAUCGCAUGUCACUAGUCAUCGCAUUCUUGUCACUUCUGAGGCCCACGAGGCCAGGGCCAGACCGGGCAUCCACGCCGAGCUCCACCCCCAACAGCAGUGCCCUGCAGACAUCUGACGACUGAGCCGGUCCCCACAGGGAAGAGGAGGGCCCGAGGCCUAGGAGGACCUAGCUGCUCACCUGGCUCCUGGGGCUCAUCUCGGGGCCUGGCGGGCAGUGGGCGGGGGCCGCGUGGGCGAGGGCCAGGCCGGGCCAGGGCCACGGGCCCCAGGAACUCCACGUAGGUGCCCGGGAAGUCGCCCCGCUGCCGUGUGCGCUCGUUGAAGCCAGGCAUCCAGCCCACACUGUUCGGGCAGCGCUCGCCGCCCUCCGCCACACCGAGCGCCUGCAGGGCCGCACGGCUCACCACCAGCAUGUCGCCAGGCAGCAGCUCCAGGUCCUCAGGCCGCUCUCGCCGGAACGGGUACAGCGCGCGGUACUGGAAGCCCUCGGUGCCUGCCAUGCCACUGUGAGGGCUGCUGGGUCACAGUCACGCAGUGGCUCGGGGCCCCCGGGGCCCCAUGGGCCAGGGUGGGGACAGGAGGCUCAGCUGGGGGCUGGGGGCCCAGACCUCUCUGCAGGAGGAGUCACGGGUGACCCCGGGGGCCGCUCAUGCCUGGCUUCCCGCCAUGACUCCGCUAUGUGACCGCUGACUGCCACCUGUCCACCGUUCGCCAGCUGGUGGGAGGCUGUUGGUGGUUGAUGCCAGCUCACUCGGACACCGUGUUUACCAUCCAACAGUGGCGCAGGGCCAUCAGCACCCUGGGCUGCCAGCUCUUCCAGCCUCGCCACACGAGGAAGCUGAGGGUGAGGGCUGCCACCAUGCUCAGCUGGGGACGCCAACCU